UACAGAGGUCUCAAGCGUUGUUCGGAUUCAUUGGGCGUAAAGGGUGCGUAGGCGGCGCGGUAAGUCGGGUGUGAAAUUUCGGAGCUUAACUCCGAAACUGCAUUCGAUACUGCCGUGCUUGAGGACUGGAGAGGAGACUGGAAUUUACGGUGUAGCGGUGAAAUGCGUAUAUAUCGUAAGGAAGACCAGUGGCGAAGGCGGGUCUCUGGACAGUUCCUGACGCUGAGGCACGAAGGCCAGGGGAGCAAACGGG
rnacentral:rRNA from 1 species